GAUGAACGCUAGCGACAGGCCUAACACAUGCAAGUCGAGGGGCAGCACGGUGUAGCAAUACACGGGUGGCGACCGGCGCACGGGUGAGUAACGCGUAUGCAACCUGCCUACUACAAGGGGAUAACCCGUUGAAAGACGGACUAAUACCCUAUAACACAGGGAAUCCGCAUGGAUAUAUUUGUUAAAGAUUUAUCGGUAGUAGAUGGGCAUGCGUUCCAUUAGCUUGUUGGUGAGGUAACGGCUCACCAAGGCAACGAUGGAUAGGGGAACUGAGAGGUUGAUCCCCCACACUGGAACUGAGACACGGUCCAGACUCCUACGGGAGGCAGCAGUGAGGAAUAUUGGUCAAUGGACGAGAGUCUGAACCAGCCAAGUCGCGUGAAGGAAGACGGCCCUACGGGUUGUAAACUUCUUUUGUAAGGGAAUAAAUAGUCUUACGCGCUAAGACGUUGCAGGUACCUUACGAAUAAGGAUCGGCUAACUCCGUGCCAGCAGCCGCGGUAAUCAUA
rnacentral:rRNA from 1 species